rnacentral:rRNA from 1 species
CAGCAGCCGCGGGAAUACGAAGGGUGCAAGCGUUACUCGGAAUUACUGGGCGUAAAGCGUGCGUAGGUGGUGGUUUAAGUCCGUUGUGAAAGCCCUGGGCUCAACCUGGGAAUUGCAGUGGAUACUGGGUCACUAGAGUGUGGUAGAGGAUAGUGGAAUUUCCGGUGUAGCAGUGAAAUGCGUAGAGAUCGGAAGGAACAUCUGUGGCGAAGGCGACUAUCUGGGCCAACACUGACACUGGGGCACGAAAGCGUGGGGAGCAAACAGGAUUAGAUACCCCCGUAGUCCCUGUCUCUUAUAC